rnacentral:rRNA from 1 species
AAUGGGCGCAAGCCUGAUCCAGCAAUGCCGCGUGGGUGAAGACGGCCUGCGGGUUGUAAAGCCCUUUAGGUGGGGAAGAAGGCGGCACCAUGAAUAAUGGUGCGGAUUGACAUUACCCACAGAAUAAGCACCGGCUAACUCCGUGCCAGCAGCCGCGGUAAUACGGAGGGUGCGAGCGUUAAUCGGAAUUACUAGGCGUAAAGCGUGCGUAGGUGGUUGGAUUAGUCAGCCGUGAAAGCCCUGGGCUUAACCUGGGAAUGGCGGUUGAAACGGUGCGACUGGAGUGGGCUAGAGGACUGUGGAACUCCCGGUGUAGCGGUGAAAUGCGUAGAGAUCGGGAAGAACACCGAUGGCGAAGGCAGCAGUCUGGGGCCACACUGACGCUGAGGCACGAAGGCGUGGGGAGCAAA